AAAAAAAAAAAAAAAGGAAAGAAAAGAAAAGGAAACGUUUGUGCCUGCAGAUGACAAUUGUGCAUAUUAUGUGGAAAUAUUUAGACAGGUCAAUUUAGGGACACUAUGAAUCCUUCCCUCUAUAAUCAGAUGUAAAAUUAAGGCUAUUCUUUUCCCAGCACUAUAAAAUGACUACAGUUGACAUUGUUUGUCGUCCUCUACUCUGGGUGCCCAAGGUGGACUAUGCUCUAAUAAGGAAGCACCCAUGCUGGACCACAGGGGCAGAGGGCCCACAGGGCACCCUCACCUACCCCCAGGGCAAGGCAGGGUCUCCUGGGCCAAGGCUAAAGAUGUCCCGCAGGGAAUUAAGUUGAGCAGCUCCCCUGCCCUGUCCCACCCUAAGAUCUGCUCUCCUGUGGAGCUCCAUGAUUCUUUAAACCAGAGCUUUGAACUAAGCCCUCAGAUGGAUACAGGCCAGCCUUUUCAGCCAGUACCAGGCAGGCAGGGCAAGGGGCAGCCAAGCAAUUCUGGGCCUUACAGGAGUGUUAACAUAUUGUAUUCAUUCAGUGCACAACAUUAUUAAUCUUCCUGACUGGGCAUAAGUGAGUGAGGAGGGCUAUUGAAAAGGAGCUAAACAGUUAGACUGGGUACCCUUGAAAAAGAAAAGGAACUCUGAAAGUGAUGACUGAUGAUACUGAAAAUAACUGAGAAAUACUUAAAAUCCAACCGCUCGCCGGGCCUACCACCAGGCAAGAGACUCUGAAAGCUGAGGCUGCAGCUCCAGGGCAGGGAGAG
rnacentral:lncRNA from 1 species